rfam:Termite gut metagenome tgut2b_Contig35695, whole genome shotgun sequence.
CGUGCAUUCCAUCCAGAAGGGCGGAGCAAGCCACUGGAAGCGAGUCUUGCAUGGGUCUUGGCGACAAGAUUUGUGAAGCGUAGACAGCGGGUACAAAAGCCGCGUUAUUGAGCCCCGAAAAAUUCAUAUUGCAUGAGGCUUUCACUUUCGUGAUAGUGGGAGCGGUCGUAUACGCACGCCAGGCGAGUGCGAAUACCUCGGCCGGGGUCGGAGAGCG